UACGGAGGGGGCUAGCGUUGUUCGGAAUUACUGGGCGUAAAGCGCGCGUAGGCGGCUUUGCAAGUUAGAGGUGAAAGCCCGGAGCUCAACUCCGGAACUGCCUUUAAAACUGCAUAGCUUGAAUCCGGGAGAGGUGAGUGGAAUUCCGAGUGUAGAGGUGAAAUUUGUAGAUAUUCGGAAGAACACCAGUGGCGAAGGCGGCUCACUGGACCGGUAUUGACGCUGAGGUGCGAAAGCGUGGGGAGCAAACAGG
rnacentral:rRNA from 1 species